GACGAACGCUGGCGGCGCGCCUAACACAUGCAAGUCGAACGGGACUAUUUUGGGAGAAGUUUUCGGAUGGAUCUCGGGAUAGUUUAGUGGCGGACGGGUGAGUAACACGUGAGCAACCUGCCUUCGAGAGGGGAAUAACGGCUGGAAACGGUCGCUAAUACCGCAUAACAUACUGGAGGGACAUCCCUUUGGUAUCAAAGAUUUAUCGCUCGGAGAUGGGCUCGCGUCCGAUUAGGUAGUUGGUGAGGUAACGGCUCACCAAGCCGACGAUCGGUAGCCGGACUGAGAGGUCGAACGGCCACAUUGGGACUGAGACACGGCCCAG
rnacentral:rRNA from 1 species